AGGCGAUAAAGGCAAACCUAUCGAAAGAUAGGGGCGCAAAGCCGCAAGUCUAAGGUCUUUAAGCACUAUGAUGGUUGGGUUGCCGUC
rnacentral:ncRNA from 1 species